rnacentral:lncRNA from 1 species
AUGGCUCAUCAAAGGCACCGCUGGCCCCCUGCUGCCAAACCCAAGUCCACUCAUGGUUCUUGUCUUCUCGGGCUCUCCCAGGGGCACAGAUCAGGUUGUCUUUCUUCAUUUGGCUUCCAAGAUGGGAAGAGCACAGUGAUGAUUUCAGAAGGUCCAGACACACCCAGGGACCAACAAUCACUCUCAGGAGUUGCCAGCCUAGGCCGGCUUGGGAGCGUGCUGAAGCCAGGGGAGAUGGGGUUGGAACCAUUUACAGCAUUUGUAUGCCUGGGAGACUGGGGGCAGGGGGAUGCCAGGGAUACACUCGGAGAUCAGGGGGAACCAGCCUUGAGAGCCAUUUCCCUCCAGCCCGUGCCAUGGGACUAUCCCAGUGCUGGAAUAGAUUUCACUGUGCGCGUCCGUAAAUGCACCCUACCUGUGCUGGACGUCAGGGACAAGAGACAAACAGGACAGGGAGCUCACACCCUGCGGGGGGGGGGGGGGGGGGGGGGGGGGGAGGCCCAGGUCAGCACAUGGCCCUGAGACCAUCACCUGCUUUAUCUCGCUCUUCCCCACCCACCCUCCCAGCCCAGAGAGGGUUGGGCUCUUCCCAGAAGACUCACCAAGGCAUUUCUGAAAUCGUACCUCUAUGCCAAGCCCUUGGCUUUUGAUGUUCCAGAGCCCAAGUCUUGGCUCUUUGUUCUGGUUCACCGUGACCACACCCCCUUGGAACCAAGAAGGGCUGCCCUGAG